rnacentral:rRNA from 1 species
UUAAGCAUAUCAAUAAGCGGAGGAAAAGAAACUAACAAGGAUUCCCCUAGUAACUGCGAGUGAAGAGGGAAGAGCUCACAUUUAAAAUCUGGCGGUCUGGCGGCCGUCCGAGUUGUAGCCUGGAGAAGCGUCCUCUGCGCCGGACCCGUGUACAAGUCUCCUGGAACGGAGCGUCGUAGAGGGUGAUAAUCCCGUCGUCGACACGGACCUCCGGUUAGCUAUGCGAGGCGCUCUCGAAGAGUCGAGUUGUUUGGGAAUGCAGCUCAAAGUGGGUGGUGAAUUCCAUCUAAAGCUAAAUACAGGCGAGAGACCGAUAGCGGACAAGUACCGUGAGGGAAAGAUGAAAAGCACUCUGGAAAGAGAGUUAAACAGCACGUGAAAUCGCUGAGAGGGAAACGCUUGAAGUCAGUCGCGUCGGCGUUAGGAGGUCAGCCUUCCCGGGAUAAUAACCGUGGGGCGCACUCUCCCGUCGACGGGCCAGCAUCGAUUUCGACCGCCGGAGAAGGGCUCGGGGAACGUGGCACCUCCGGGUGUGUUAUAGCCCCCUGUCGUAUGCGGCGGUCGGGAUCGAGGUUUUUACAUGUUCGCAGCACGCCUUUUUGGCCGGGGCCGUUCGCGGUCCACGUCCGUGCUUAGGAUGCUGGCGUAAUGGCUUUAAACGACCCGUCUUGAAACACGGACCAAGGAGUCCAACUCGCCUGCGAGUG